CCUACGGGAGGCAGCAGUGGGGAAUAUUGGACAAUGGGCGAAAGCCUGAUCCAGCCAUGCCGCGUGUGUGAAGAAGGCCUUCGGGUUGUAAAGCACUUUCAGUGGGGAAGAAAGCCUUGGGGCUAAUACCCUCGAGGAAGGACAUCACCCACAGAAGAAGCACCGGCUAACUCCGUGCCAGCAGCCGCGGUAAUACGGAGGGUGCGAGCGUUAAUCGGAAUUACUGGGCGUAAAGCGCGCGUAGGCGGUCUGAUAAGCCGGUUGUGAAAGCCCCGGGCUCAACCUGGGAACGGCAUCCGGAACUGUCAGGCUAGAGUGCAGGAGAGGAAGGUAGAAUUCCCGGUGUAGCGGUGAAAUGCGUAGAGAUCGGGAGGAAUACCAGUGGCGAAGGCGGACUUCUGGACUGACACUGACGCUGAGGUGCGAAAGCGUGGGUAGCAAACAGGAUUAGAUACCCUGGUAGUC
rnacentral:rRNA from 1 species